ACUUGAGUUACAUUGACAGAAGCCUUCAAAACAAUAUUGUGUGAGAUAAACACAAUGGUUGCAGUCUAUGGUCUGAAAUUCUUUUACUGUGGGAAGGCCAGUUUUAAAGAUGAUUUGAAGGUCAAAUGAGGUCACCUUUAACAUAAUGUAGCAUUUACUGGACUGCAGUGGUCAAGGGAAAACAAAGAGGUUUUUGGAGAACUUAGACAUUGGAGAAUAGUCAUGCUCUUGGAUGGCAUUAUCCAAAGACGGUGGCAGUUGAGUGGAAUCCAAUAACCACGCUACGAAAGAACAUAAUCUGAGCUAUGGGUGAAGUAGGGGAGUGAGGGCCACAGACCAGAGGCCUUUCGGAGUUUCUCAAAUCUUUAAAUAUCUUUCAAGAAGGGGGACCCUAUAGCUCUUUCAGUACCAUCAUAUCAGCUUAUUUAUGAUACCAGAACUAUAACUGUAUUCUAAGUCACCAGAAUUGACAGCAAUUUAUAUGGGUUUGAUUUUUUUUUAGUGACUAGAGAAAAAAAUAAGUAUCAGUUACUUUCUUGACCUACCAGGCCAGCCUUUGCAGAAAGAGGGAUAAAGCAUCCUUGAUGAGGAACAAAUAAAAUUAUACUGUGAAGAAAUUUCCAACUGGUCAGAUCAGGAUGUAAUUCUCUUGUUUGUGUUUUUCUUAGAAAGCAUUUCCAUUUUGCCUGGCUCUGGGAACAAAGCCAAUGUCUGCUUUAGAGGAACAGAGAUUUCCACACAGCGAAUGAGAAAAAGGACACAGACCCAGGAUUCAGAAAGGAAAUGAGGACAGAGACUAACACUGUCUAAAUACAUAAAGGCAGAAGACAUUUUCUCAGCAACCCGGGGAUAGAUCCUUUUCCGUUCCACUGAAGCUUGCAGAGAAAAGCGGGCUGUGAGAAGCAAGGCCCCGGAGGGGAGGCAGACAGACCCUGAGCCGUGCAAAUUUGUGCAAAUGCCUGGAUUUGCCCCGAAGGCAGAGAGGGUGGGGAGCUUCAGAGACCAACAGGGGGAAAUUUGUACAUAGAGACAUGCAGAGAGAGGAGCUGAUGUGAAGGCAUGGAGAGAUUUUCAUCUACAAGCCAAGGAAUGCCUGAGCUACCAGAAGCCAAGAGAGAGGCAAGGAACAGAGUCUGCCUCACAGCCCUUAAAAGCAAACAACCCUGCUGACAUCUUACGUUUGAACUUCCAGCUUCCAGAACUGUGAGACAAUAAACUUCUGUUGUUUAAGCAACUCAGUUUGUGGUACCUUGUUAUGGCAGGCCUAGCAAAUUAAUACACCUUCUUACUAAAAACAACCAUAAAACUGCCAAAAUAUAUGAGGAAACUGUCUUUAGGUAUUUGGACAACAUGCGGUACGGGGCUGUGAUUCUUGAGAGGAAAGGAAAUGUAUGAGCUAAAUGAAAGUUAAAAGAAUCCAUCUGUAAUACAAGAAAUAUGAAAAGAGGUUCUGCUUGUGAAAUAUAUGUCAAAGGUGGCAAAAAUAGUAGGAAAAAAAUACAUGUAAUUUUGCAAUUGUAAGACUUAAAUAUUUUAUGGGUGGUGGUACAAUGUCAACUCUAGUCACUGUGAUCAGUUAAAGUGUCAUAUUUUAAUCUUUGUGGGAACCAUUUAAAAAAUACAAAUAAGGAUAGCUAAAAAGCCAACAGAGGACAGAAAAGGAAUACUAAAAAUAUUUAAUGAACUCAAAAGAAGGAAUGAAAGGAAGAAUGGAGGAACAACAAGAUGUCAGGAGAAAUAGUAAAUAAAUACCAGGAUGGUAACAUUAAAUCCCAGUAUAUCAAUAAUUAUAUUAAAUGUUAAA
rnacentral:lncRNA from 1 species